rnacentral:rRNA from 1 species
GACAGAGGGUGCAAACGUUGCUCGGAAUUACUGGGCGUAAAGCGCGUGUAGGUGGAUUGGUGUGUCAGAUGUGAAAUCCCUGGGCUCAACCCAGGAACUGCACCUGAAACUACCAGUCUUGAGUGGUGGAGAGGGAAGUGGAAUUCCUGGUGUAGAGGUGAAAAUUCGUAGAUAUCAGGAGGAACACCAGUGGCGAAGGCGGCUUCCUGGACACUAACUGGACGCUGAGACGCGAAAGCGUGGGGAGCAAACAGGAUAGAUACCCUGUA